rnacentral:misc_RNA from 1 species
AUUUUAGUCAUCAUUGGAAUCACAUCAGAAAUAAUAGCCUUAUUGUCCGCCAUUAGAUGAAAUUAACAAAAUUCUAACACAGAUUAAUAACCAACUCUGUCCCAAUCUUCAAACAAAUUCAAUAAAACUUAGAAACAAAAGAAUUCCGUGAAAACAAAACUUGAAAUUGCUCAACAAUUAACUGCCCGAAGGAGAGAAAUAUUUGAGAUCCAAAAGAAAUGCCCAAAAUUGAACAAUGAACCACGGAACUGGAAUCGCAAAGUCGAGGCGACCCUGGGACAAGAGGCGCGACUGUUGGACGUCACUGGAAGAGGGCACACGAGCGUUCACGCGCCGGCGCGUGGAAUAGGAACCAGAAAUAAAAGUUGGCGUGUGGAGGCCACUCACUCCAAGUCCAGUCACCGGACUUUCAGGGAAGGCUGGUCAGCACUUGGGUCACCUUCUGAGGGUGGUUGUGAGAUACCAUAAUAACCCUAGGGGGUUCUCCUAGGUUACAGGGGGUCAAAGGAAAGAACAGGGGAACGGGAACAGGAAAGAAUUCUCAGGGAAAGAGGGCUACGAGGCCAGGCUCUAAUACCAUGUAAGUUAAGGUAAUUUUCAUAUAUUCAAAGGUGUUAAUAUACUACUAUAUAUAUAUACACAAUUAUCUCCUAUUCUACAUAGACUGAAAUUCUACUUCUACAUUGAUUAGGAAUCCUUUUCUAACAAGGAUAUCCUAUAAGAGUCAACUUCUAAUAGGAAAAGACUUCUAUAAUGGUUUGAAACUGAAUUGAAAACCAAAAUAUGAGAAUUUGAAAAGCCGAACCAACCGAAUUACUAGUUUGGUCUGAUUGGGUUUUUAAUCUAAUUUUCUUUUGCAAUCAAUUUGAAAUUUUUAUCAUGUGUACAUUUUUGAAAAAUGAUUAAAUGAUUAUUUUAAGCGCAAUAAAUUUUGAUUUUUCACAUUUAUAUCCAUGCAUUUCCAACUUUUCUUGGGUGCAAUUUAUAAAAAAAAAAAUGAGAAUAAUUGAAUAAAUAAAAGUAUUUUCAUACAAAAUAUCUAAAAGAUAAAAAUUAUUAAUCUCAUAUUUUGCAUAUGUAAUAUAUUAACCCCUAUACCUAUGCACUUAUCCAAAUCAAACUGAAUAUGGGGGAAUUAUUAAAAUAUUUUUAUCUUUUUAUUUGUAUUAAUUAAAUUGGUUCAGUUGAUU